rnacentral:lncRNA from 1 species
GUUCCUUUGGUGACUCCUUUGAUGUCUCUUCUUGUUCAUCUUCAGUACUGUGAGAAAGAAAAGUUGAAUAAAUACUCUCUAAGGGUCAGCUCUGAAAUCAGUUAAAGACUCUAUACGACUGUGAGCAAAUUCAUGAGAAAAUCAACAGAGCACAGGAACUUUGCUGGGAGGGGCCUUCACAAGGUUACAGUUGGAAGCUGGAGUAUGCAGUGGAAGAAGGGAGUAAGUUCAUAACACUACGCUGUUUGGGUUUAGACGGUUGAGACAUGACCAUGGAUAGCUACACAGGUUGGUAGGUGGAUAACUCUACUUUUAAAAUAGAUGAGUACAUACCUUAAAAGAACAAGAGUACACAAUUUUAAAAAUGUAACAAAGCCAACAGUUAACUUAUAUCUGUCUGGUGCCACAUCCCUGGCUACUGAUCCAAGGCUACCUUCUCAUCUAAAAGAAAGCCCCUGCUAAGUUAUAUAGAACCCAAGGCCUCCCAAGUGGUAGAUGUUAAGUUGAAUCUGCAUUGUUAACUGUUACUAACUCUUUGCUAAGAUGCUAAGCAAGCAAAGGAAAAUGCUGGUGACACUGCCUUCUGGGGAGAAGAAAUACAUGAAAACCUAGUUCUAAUUUUGUUAUGUUAAUAACUAGCUAUGUAGCUUGGGCAAAUCCCCCAGGUCAGCUUAGCAAAGAUAACUGCACUUGCUAUGUGGCACACCAAGGAGCCUGAAAGCUUGAGAGACCAAAGGGGGAAAAAGCAGUGACUACAACAACAUUUGCUAUAAAAAUGCAAGGGGAGGUAUAAAUAAUACAACACGUGGAUGUCAUGAGGUUGGUGAGGAGGAAGGGAUUUGUUCUAUUGAGGAGAAAUCAUUGAACCUUGGUUUUCUCAACCAUAUAAUGAAAGGUUUGGACGAGGCUGUCCCUCAGGAUCCCCCCAGCUCUAAACAUCUGUGAUCCAACAGAAGAAAUUUAAGGGAAGUGAUUCUCAAGGAAUCUUCCCUAAGG